CAUUUUCUCAACCCAAGUCAAACAACAUCGUUGUGAUAGAUUCUUGGAAGUUAAGCAGCGCAGUCCCGAGGUUACAUGCAGCAGAGUCCAGGGCUGGGAAUGAGGGGAACCAGGUGGAGUCCGGCUGACAAGCAGCAAGUGUGACACCUCAAAUGGCACAUACGACUUCUAGAUCCCUGCCGCAAGGGAGAAGAACCUCUCCAUCAAGAGGCUUCUAUUCCAUGGCUGCUUAUCUCUAUUUUCUGAAGCGGUGCUGUACAAUACAUCACAGUGAUCCAGAAGGAAGAGGAGAAUUUUCAACUGCUGUGCAUGGGUUUCUCUGGGUAGCUCUGGCUGUCCUGGAACUCACUCUAUAGACUGCAUUGGUUUUGAACCCAGCAAUCUGCAUGUGUCUACCUCUGGAGUGCUGGAUUUAAAGGCAUGUGCUAGUAUCACCUGGCUUCUGUCCUGACUUCUGAAACUCAACAUUAGUCUUUUUGAUUUUUUUUUCUUUCUUUUUGCGCACAUGCAAUGCAGUGCACAAAGAGGCCGGAAGAGGACACCAGAUUCCUGAAACUGCAGUUAAGGAUGCUUGUAAGCCCCCAUGUGGGGGCUGGAAACCCCACCCCCAAACCCUGAUCCUCUGCUGGAGCACCCCUGGGCCUUCUCUCCAGCUUCCACACAUUGGCCUAAUGUGAAUUUUGAGAUUUAUGUAAAGAGGUGUAUAUAAAAUGGGCUAGCGGUCUCAGUACGGCUUUUGUGAGGUUUAACCAGUGUUGUGUACGGAAGCAGUUCAUCUUCUUUGCUCUACAGUCUCCAUGUCCAAGGAACACAUGCUUUAAGUCUCAGUCUUUAGCUUACAGAUGGCCAUGUAUUACUAUGUAUAAAUAUGUUGACUUAAUAUGUGGAUAUGUUACGAAAAGAUCGGUUCAGGCUAAUUAUCAUAUCCAUCACUCCAAACAUCCACUAUUUCCUUGUGGUGGGAACAUUAACACUUCUCCCAUUCAGUGAUUUGGCGGUCCAAGGCACAUAGCCAUUAUCCAUUAUUGUUCCCUGUGGUCGCCCCAUUGUGCAGUAAAGCACCAGAGGGGCUUCAUCUUCCUCUCACCGAAUCUUUAUAGUGUUUUACAUCACUCUUCGUCAUAUCUGGUUUCCAGGUUAGUGUCAUUUUUUUUUUAAACUAUCUCGUAUAAUACCGCUGUCCAGGUUUAUAUACCCACUUGUGCUUGCGUCAGCUGGUUCACAGACACACCUAAGGAUAGAGUCUCUGGUGUACAGGGUAGGUGGGUAAGCCUCAGUCACUGACGGUGGCAAUUUUUCUGUUUAUCCUAGUUCGUAUUCUGAAUCUCCCGCAUUUCUUUGUCCCACCCCUGACUCUGACAGUCUAUUUAGUUUUUGCCACUCUGGUGGGUGGAGACUUACCCUUAUUCUAUGGAUUUAGUUUUACAUUACCCUAAUGACGAUUGAACUGAAAAUGUUUUUGCAUAUGAACUGGCCUUUGUGUAUUAUUUUUUAAGUAUGUUGCCGAGUCUGUGGCUUCAUUUCCUAUGAACCGGUCUGUGUCUUCCUUGGUGCAGUAUGUUGAGUUUUUGCACAUUCUGGGUCAGACUUCUGAUUUUUCUUUGCAGAAGAGACUACCCACUGAGCCACAUUCCCAGCCCUCUGGAUGAGCCUUCUUGCCACAGUGUGUACACUUUGCAGACACCUCCUCACAGCCUGAUGCCUUUUCAUUUUCCACGUUAUGUUUGUAAUUUCUGAACAAAUUACACUUUUCUUUCUUAUUUUCAGUGCUUUAUGGUUGCCGUUUGUGUAUCUGAGGUUGUGAAGAUAUAGUUCUGUGGUGGUUCAGGACUCAUACAAUUUAGAUCUCAACUCUGCUGCAGUGUUUAUACCAAAAAUGCUUGUUAAGUGGGCUAAUGUGCUGAGUACAGUUUUUAUCCUUCAGUUUUGUAUUUAAUGUGGAGUAGAAUGCUGUCUUUCCCACCUGUACAAAUGUACAAAUAGAUAGUUUAUUGAAAAGCAUCCAUUUCACCUGCAGUGUCCACUUUGAUAUAAGUCAAAUAUUCAUGUAUAUGUUUCUGUCGUGGAUUGUUUUACUGGCUUAUCUUCUGCUUUUAUAACCAUAGCAUACUGUUUAGCUCACUAAAAUUUAUCAUAAAAUAUUCAUGUCCAGUACAGCAGGAAUAGCGUUGGCUGUGUUCUUGCUCAUGAGCAACUGGGUUGCACAUAUGCUUUCGAAUCUACUCAGUCUUCAGAAGAAUGUCUACUGGGAAUUAGCUAAAAUUAAAUUAAAUCUGUAGAUCAAUUUGGAGGGCGUUGGCGUCUCUAUUGUAAUGGCUCUUCUAGCAUAGGAACAUGGGAAGUCUAUCCGUUCGCUCUGAGCUAUGUUUUAAAAUCCGGAUGCCCAGGUGGUACACGUGUUUGCUUAGGCUCAACCUAAGAUACUUCAGUUUUAUGAUGCCAAAUAAAUUCUAUGUUCCUUGUAUUUCUGGUUAAACAAAAGUCUAUGCUAAACUGUUUUUGUACAGUGCAAAUAAAAUCCAUCUUUGU